CAGUCGCCACGGUAAUACGGAGGGCGCGAGCGUUACCCGGAUUUACUGGGCGUAAAGGGCGUGUAGGCGGCCUGGGGCGUCCCAUGUGAAAGGCCCCGGCUCAACCGUGGAGGAGCGUGGGAUACGCUCAGGCUAGAGGGUGGGAGAGGGUGGUGGAAUUCCCGGAGUAGCGAUGAAAUGCGCAGAUACCGGGAGGAACGCCGAUGGCGAAGGCAGCCACCUGGUCCACUACUGACGCUGAGGCGCGAAAGCGUGGGGAGCAAACCGGAUUAGAGACCCGAGUAGUCCCUGUCUCUUAUAC
rnacentral:rRNA from 1 species